AAACAACAUUCUAGCCAUGUAAUAUGCCCUGUAUUAUAGCUUCAGCCAAAGCUCUUUAACUGAACGAGCAAGUGUUAUUGAUUUCAUAAACAUGGAGGUUGCGCCCUUUACCUCCGGGCCAGAUCCGUUAGUGGAGUCUGGAAGCUCCAGGGAGAUGUUGUGAUAUGUAAACAUCAGUUUGUGGUUGGCUGUACCAGGGUACUCUAGAAUGUUUCCAAGAUGCUGAGGGCUGGAAAGAGAGGGCAGAAACAUCCAAAGCUUGUGCUUCUCAAAAGCAGAAAAGCAAGAUAUCAUAAACGAAGCAACAUGGGAUUUAUUUUGUGAUCUCUUUGGGUAAUUCUAUGCUACAGCUACAAAAGACCUCAGAAGUCUUGAUUUCCAAUCCCCGACUUCUACAAAUGAAGAAAUGAAAUCCAAGAAAUGUUAAGUGAUUUGCUCAGUUUCCUCAGACUGAAAUCCUGGCAAUUAUGAAAGACAGGUUUUGAACCCUCAUCUUUGAACUUCAGAAUGGGUGCUCUUUGACUUAUACCACCCUGUGCAGCAGCCACGACUGCCUAUAAGGGCACUAACAGGGACCUAGCUUAAUGAUUUUCCUUCUUGGGGCUAAUACCAACCUCUCACAUAGACAAUGAAGUUGCCAUUGGACCACCUUGCACUAAUAAAAUUCAUCAGAAAC
rnacentral:lncRNA from 1 species